rnacentral:rRNA from 1 species
UGAAUACGAGAUGCUACGGCGUCGAAGCAGUCUAUGUCAUACUUCCAAGAAAAGCUUGCACUGUCAUAAACAAAUAAUGCCUGUACCAUAACCGACACAGGUGGGUAGGUAGAGUAUACUAAGGGGCGCGAGAUAACUCUCUCUAAGGAACUCGGCAAAAUGACUCCGUAACUUCGGGAGAAGGAGUGCCUUAUUUAUAAGGUUGCAAUAACAAGAUCCAAGCAACUGUUUACCAAAAACACAGGUCUCCGCUAAGUCGUAAGACGAUGUAUGGGGGCUGACGCCUGCCCAGUGCCAAGGUUAAAGAAGUUGGUUAGCAUCCGCGAAGCUGAUAACUGAAGCCCUGGUGAACGGCGGCCGUAACAAUAACGGUCCUAAGGUAGCGAAAUUCCUUGUCGGGUAAGUUCCGACCCGCACGAAAGGCGUAAUGAUUUGGAUACUGUCUCGGAGAGGGGCUCGGUGAAAUAGACUUGUCUGUGAAGAUGCGGACUACCUGCACCAGGACAGAAAGACCCUAUGAAGCUUUACUGUAACCUGAAAUUGAAAUUGGACUUUACUUGCGCAGUAUAGGUGGGAGGCGUUGAGAAUAUUCUUGCGGGAUUAUUGGAGCCAUCAGUGAGAUACCACUCUUGUAAUGUUAGAUUUCUAACUUUGUAUCAUUAUCUGGUCAAAGAACAGUUUCAGGCGGGCAGUUUGACUGGGGCGGUCGCCUCCUAAACGGUAACGGAGGCGCACAAAGGUUUCCUCUGAACGGGUAGAAAUCGUAUCUAGAGUGUAAAGGCAUAAGGAAGCUUGACUGUGAGACCUACAAGUCGAGCAGGGACGAAAGUCGGUCUUAGUGAUCUGACGGUGCUGAGUGGAAAGGCCGUCACUCAACGGAUAAAAGUUACUCUAAGGAUAACAGGCUGAUCUCCCCCAAGAGUUCACAUCGACGGGGAGGUUUGGCACCUCGAUGUCGGCUCAUCGCGUCCUGGGGCGGUAGUACGUCCCAAGGGUUGGGCUGUUCGCCCAUGAAAGCGGUACGCGAGCUGGGUUCAGAACGUCGUGAGACAGUUCGGUCCAUAUCCGGUGUAGGCGUUAGAAUAUUGAGAGGAGCCUUCUUUAGUACGUGAGGACCGAGAAGGACAUACCUCUGGUGUACCAGUUAUCGUGCCAACGGUAAACGCUGGGUAGCUAUGUGUGGAGUGGAUAACCGCUGAAAGCAUCUAAGUGGGAAGCCCACCUCAAGAUAAGUAUUCUC